rnacentral:sRNA from 1 species
GCUGGGUGUGGUGGCUCACGCCUGUAAUCCCAGCACUUUGGGAGGCUGAGGUGGGUGGAUCACCUGAGGUCAGGAGUUCAAGACCAGCCUGGCCAACAUGGUGAAACCCCAUCUCUA